rnacentral:tRNA from 1 species
AGGGGGUUAGUCCAAAAAGACCUCUGAUUUCGGCUCAGAAAAUCACGGUUAAAAUCCGUGACUCCCUU